rnacentral:rRNA from 1 species
UACGGAGGGUGCAAGCGUUGUCCGGAUUUAUUGGGUUUAAAGGGUGCGUAGGCGGUCCUUUAAGUCAGUGGUGAAAGCCAAUAGCUCAACUGUUGAACUGCCAUUGAUACUGGAGGACUUGAGUACAGACGAGGUAGGCGGAAUUGACGGUGUAGCGGUGAAAUGCAUAGAUAUCGUCAAGAACACCGAUUGCGAAGGCAGCUUACUAGACUGUAACUGACGCUGAGGCACGAAAGUGUGGGGAUCAAACAGG